rnacentral:rRNA from 3 species
CUGGAGGUAUCAGAAGUGCGAAUGCUGACAUAAGUAACGAUAAAGCGGGUGAAAAGCCCGCUCGCCGGAAGACCAAGGGUUCCUGUCCAACGUUAAUCGGGGCAGGGUGAGUCGACCCCUAAGGCGAGGCCGAAAGGCGUAGUCGAUGGGAAACGGGUUAAUAUUCCCGUACUUGGUGUUACUGCGAAGGGGGGACGGAGAAGGCUAUGUUGGCCGGGCGACGGUUGUCCCGGUUUAAGCGUGUAGGUGUGUGUUCCAGGUAAAUCCGGUUCACUUUAACACUGAGGCGUGAUGACGAGGCACUACGGUGCUGAAGCAACAAAUGCCCUGCUUCCAGGAAAAGCCUCUAAGCAUCAGGUAACAUCAAAUCGUACCCCAAACCGACACAGGUGGUCAGGUAGAGAAUACCAAGGCGCUUGAGAGAACUCGGGUGAAGGAACUAGGCAAAAUGGUGCCGUAACUUCGGGAGAAGGCACGCUGACACGUAGGUGAAGUGAUUUACUCAUGGAGCUGAAGUCAGUCGAAGAUACCAGCUGGCUGCAACUGUUUAUUAAAAACACAGCACUGUGCAAACACGAAAGUGGACGUAUACGGUGUGACGCCUGCCCGGUGCCGGAAGGUUAAUUGAUGGGGUCAGCGCAAGCGAAGCUCCUGAUCGAAGCCCCGGUAAACGGCGGCCGUAACUAUAACGGUCCUAAGGUAGCGAAAUUCCUUGUCGGGUAAGUUCCGACCUGCACGAAUGGCGUAAUGAUGGCCAGGCUGUCUCCACCCGAGACUCAGUGAAAUUGAACUCGCUGUGAAGAUGCAGUGUACCCGCGGCAAGACGGAAAGACCCCGUGAACCUUUACUAUAGCUUGACACUGAACAUUGAGCCUUGAUGUGUAGGAUAGGUGGGAGGCUUUGAAGUGUGGACGCCAGUCUGCAUGGAGCCGGCCUUGAAAUACCACCCUUUAAUGUUUGAUGUUCUAACGUGGACCCGUGAUCCGGGUUGCGGACAGUGUCUGGUGGGUAGUUUGACUGGGGCGGUCUCCUCCUAAAGAGUAACGGAGGAGCACGAAGGUUGGCUAAUCCUGGUCGGACAUCAGGAGGUUAGUGCAAUGGCAUAAGCCAGCUUGACUGCGAGCGUGACGGCGCGAGCAGGUGCGAAAGCAGGUCAUAGUGAUCCGGUGGUUCUGAAUGGAAGGGCCAUCGCUCAACGGAUAAAAGGUACUCCGGGGAUAACAGGCUGAUACCGCCCAAGAGUUCAUAUCGACGGCGGUGUUUGGCACCUCGAUGUCGGCUCAUCACAUCCUGGGGCUGAAGUAGGUCCCAAGGGUAUGGCUGUUCGCCAUUUAAAGUGGUACGCGAGCUGGGUUUAGAACGUCGUGAGACAGUUCGGUCCCUAUCUGCCGUGGGCGCUGGAGAACUGAGGGGGGCUGCUCCUAGUACGAGAGGACCGGAGUGGACGCAUCACUGGUGUUCGGGUUGUCAUGCCAAUGGCACUGCCCGGUAGCUAAAUGCGGAAGAGAUAAGUGCUGAAAGCAUCUAAGCACGAAACUUGCCCCGAGAUGAGUUCUCCCUGAGACUUA